rnacentral:misc_RNA from 13 species
AAAGCACGAUUGUCUGUCUGAAACAAUUUGGGCCUGGGCGAGGAGACUGGUGGUGACACCAGGAUGCGAGCUCGGUCCCGUGCCUUGGCCGCCCACGGACCUUUCUUUCUGCGAGUCAUCGGCUGUCCAGUUCCCGUCUCUUUUAGGGGCGGAAAACGGGCCGAUCGUCUCUUCGGCCGCCAUUCAACGAUCAACUCAGAACUGGCACGGACCAGGGGAAUCCGACUGUCUAAUUAAAACAAAGCAUUGUGAUGGCCCUAACGGGCGUUGACGCAAUGUGAUUUCUGCCCAGUGCUCUGAAUGUCAACGUGAAGAAAUUCAAAAAAGCGCGGGUAAACGGCGGGAGUAACUAUGACUCUCAUAGAGGUCUGAAGUCCUAUAGAGGUCAGAAGUAAGAGAGUCCAAUAG